CGCGUAGGCGGUUUGGUAAGUCGGAUGUGAAAGCCCUGGGCUCAACCUGGGAACUGCACUCGAUACUGCCUGACUAGAGUAUGGUAGAGGGAAGUGGAAUUCCGGGUGUAGCGGUGAAAUGCGUAGAUAUCCGGAGGAACAUCAGUGGCGAAGGCGACUUCCUGGACCAAUACUGACGCUGAGGUGCGAAAGCGUGGGGAGCAAACA
rnacentral:rRNA from 1 species